rnacentral:rRNA from 1 species
AUUGAACGCUGGCGGCAGGCUUAACACAUGCAAGUCGAGCGGGGUGAUGGUGCUUGCACUAUCACUUAGCGGCGGACGGGUGAGUAAUGCUUAGGAAUCUGCCUAUUAGUGGGGGACAACAUCUCGAAAGGGAUGCUAAUACCGCAUACGUCCUACGGGAGAAAGCAGGGGAUCACUUGUGACCUUGCGCUAAUAGAUGAGCCUAAGUCGGAUUAGCUAGUUGGUGGGGUAAAGGCCUACCAAGGCGACGAUCUGUAGCGGGUCUGAGGGGAUGAUCAGCCACACUGGGACGGAGACACGGCCCAGACUCCUACGGGAGGCAGCAGUGGGGAAUAUUGGACAAUGGGGGGAACCCUGAUCCAGCCAUGCCGCGUGUGUGAAGAAGGCCUUAUGGUUGUAAAGCACUUUAAGCGAGGAGGAGGCUCUUUUGGUUAAUACCCAAGAUGAGUGGACGUUACUCGCAGAAUAAGCACCGGCUAACUCUGUGCCAGCCGCCGCGGUAA